AGAAAGAGUAAUGUUAUACACAUAAAUAUUAACAUUUUGUAGAGCAACAACAGAAUAAAAACCAAAAUAUGAACACCAGCAACUAAAACAGGAACCAUUAAAUGAAUAUUAUAUACAGCAAUAACAGCAUCAAAUAAUGGAAAUAAUGGACCUUAUUGCACAAAUCAAAAACAAAAUUUCAGCAUUACUACUUUAUUGGUUAUAUCAAUAAAAGAAAUUGAGUUUAUCAGUCUAGAUCCUACAAGCAAGCAGAUCUAUCACAUAAUUUUAAAUGAAGAUUUAUCUAUUAUAGUAAUUUAUUCUAAUAACGAAAAAAAAAACUUUAGACCAAAAAAUAUUUUCUUCUGAUGAGGUUUAUGGAUAUUACAGUCUGUUGAAGUUUGGCCAUUAUGUGUUGGUAUACAAUUUAUUUAUGAUGUUACAGUAGUUAAACCAUCCGAGUACAAAACAUGUUUAAAAUCCACUAUUCUUAAUGAAUGGAAACUACCAACUUGAGAGGAAGCUAAGAGAAAGGUUCUAUUGGGUGGACUACAAGGAAAAGGGAUAUACAUGAGGAUCU